rnacentral:rRNA from 1 species
AACACAUGCAAGUCGAGGGGCAGCACGGGUAGCAAUACUUGGUGGCGACCGGCGCACGGGUGAGUAACGCGUAUGCAACCUACCAUUAACUGGAACAUAGCCCGUCGAAAGGCGGAUUAAUUUUCCAUAACAUCACCAAGACGCAUGUUUUAGUGAUUAAAGCUCCGGCGGUUAACGAUGGGCAUGCGUGUCAUUAGCUAGUUGGUGAGGUAACGGCUCACCAAGGCUACGAUGACUAGGGGGUCUGAGAGGAUGAUCCCCCACACUGGAACUGAGACACGGUCCAGACUCCUACGGGAGGCAGCAGUGAGGAAUAUUGGUCAAUGGGGGCAACCCUGAACCAGCCAUGCCGCGUGAAGGAUGAAGGCCCUAUGGGUUGUAAACUUCUUUUUUUAGGGACGAAACUGCGAUACGAGUAUUGUACUGACGGUACCUAAUGAAUAAGCAACGGCUAACUCCGUGCCAGCAGCCGCGGUAAUACGGAGGUUGCAAGCGUUAUCCGGAUUUAUUGGGUUUAAAGGGUGCGUAGGCGGGAUUAUAAGUCAGUGGUGAAAACCUGCAGCUUAACUGUAGAACUGCCAUUGAUACUGUAAUUCUUGAGUGUAGUUGAGGUGGGCGGAAUGUGUAAUGUAGCGGUGAAAUGCUUAGAUAUUACACAGAACACCAAUUGCGUAGGCAGCUCACUAAACUAAUACUGACGCUGAGGCACGAAAGCGUGGGGAGCAAACAGGAUUAGAUACCCUGGUAGUCC